CUGACGCGGAUGCUCCCAGGAGGUCACUCUCCCUGGGCUCUGUCCAGGUGGCACAAAGGAGCACAGGGCUCAGUGCCCUGUGACAUGCAGUCCUUUUCCACAACUUUGGAGAUGAAGCUGGGCCUGGAGCCUGCGUAUUCCUACAGCUCCUCAGAGUCCUGUGGACCAUGACAGGAGACAAACCAUGCAGGACACAGCC